rnacentral:rRNA from 1 species
UACAGAGGUGGCAAGCGUUGUUCGGAAUUACUGGGCGUAAAGGGCGCGUAGGCGGCCUUCUAAGUCAGACGUGAAAUCCCCCGGCUUAACCUGGGAACUGCGUCUGAUACUGGGAGGCUUGAGUAUGGGAGAGGGAUGUAGAAUUCCAGGUGUAGCGGUGAAAUGCGUAGAUAUCUGGAGGAAUACCGGUGGCGAAGGCAGGUCUCUGGGCCGAUACUGACGCUGAGGAGCGAAAGCGUGGGGAGCGAACAGG